rnacentral:rRNA from 1 species
UACAGAGGUCUCAAGCGUUGUUCGGAUUCAUUGGGCGUAAAGGGUGUGUAGGUGGCGCGCUAAGUCGGGUGUGAAAUUUCGGAGCUUAACUCCGAAACUGCAUUCGAUACUGGCGUGCUUGAGGACUGGAGAGGAGACUGGAAUUUACGGUGUAGCAGUGAAAUGCGUAGAUAUCGUAAGGAAGACCAGUGGCGAAGGCGGGUCUCGUGGACGAGUUCCUGACACUGAGGCACGGAAGGCCAGGGGA